rnacentral:rRNA from 1 species
CAGUAGCCGCGGGAAUACGUAGGUGGCAAGCGUUGUCCAGAAUUAUUGGGCGUAAAGGGCUCGCAGGCGGUUUCUUAAGUCUGAUGUGAAAGCCCCCGGCUCAACCGGGGAGGGUCAUUGGAAACUGGGAAACUUGAGUGCAGAAGAGGAGAGUGGAAUUCCACGUGUAGCGGUGAAAUGCGUAGAGAUGUGGAGGAACACCAGUGGCGAAGGCGACUCUCUGGUCUGUAACUGACGCUGAGGAGCGAAAGCGUGGGGAGCGAACAGGAUUAGAUACCCCCGUAGUCCCUGUCUCUUAUAA